UCCUCUUCCAAAGUUCCUGAGGAAGUAAGACAAUGCUAUGUCAACCUCUUUUUUGAGAAGUAUUUGAGAGUUUAUAAAACAGAGGAUGAGGCUUUUAGCAAGGUGUGUCAGGAAGCAGUAAUGACAGCAAGACAACUGGAUUGAAAAAGAAUGAAAAGAAACAUGCUUCUAAGAAGAUAUGUUGUCGAUGUGGGAAGAUACAUGGUGUGGCUCCCAUCGGCAGACAUGGCAGGGUGGACCAAUGUAACUACCACUUCGGCCGAGUGUCGAGUCGUAAAGGCAGGUAUUUGGUAGUUCUGUUUCAUUUAUUGGACAUGCCAGCACCAAUGUUAUUCAGAGAAAAGUGGAAUAAAGUAUUCAGUUCAAUAUCUAUUUGUUAAAUACAGUCCAGCAGAGAGAAACGGGAUGGACGCUGAAGUUUCAGUUACAAACACCUGCUUCUGAGCACCACCACUUUCCCGUGCAGCUCAGUGGCCCAAGAACUCUCAAAGUUCUGCCUUUUUAAGACCUCUAGUCAAUCAGCUGCCUCCUGAUGUCACCUGCUUGCCACAGGCCAGCAUUGUAAUACUUUCCCUGCUAACGGCUUUAGUUCCGUGCCCCCUGCCCGGCACUGAAUGAAGAGCACACUUGCUUCCUUGCCCCGCCAGCCACAUCUUCUCCAGCACAGUAGUUCCCUCCAGUCCACUUGGCUGGGGUUUUUCCUACUCAAACAAAAAACCUGGGCACCACCAUCGUCUCCCCUUUGGGCACCCUUUCAUCUAAGCAGCGUGCACGUCUCAUUUUUCUGCCUCACAAAUGUAUCCCGACCCUGUCUCUUCUCCACCUCUGCUGCCACCACUCAGGUCCAAACCUUCGCCUCUGUCCUCAGUUGCUGCUGCGUCCGCCUUCCCAGCCUCCCUGCUUCUACUGUGCCCUUUUCUCUCUCCACCCCCCUCCCUGUUUUUCACCCAACAAACCCCAGAAUGAUUUUUUUUACAUCACAUUUCUGUUCACAUCACUCCCUGCUUUAAUUAAAACUCUUAGGGACCAGCCUGGUGGUGCAGUGGUUAAGCUUGUGCAUUCUGCUUUGGCGGCCCAGGGUUCACCAGUU